ACUAAGCAUAUCAAUAAGCGGAGGAAAAGAAACCAACAGGGAUUGCCCUAGUAACGGCGAGUGAAGCGGCAACAGCUCAAAUUUGAAAUCUGGCUCUCGGGCCCGAGUUGUAAUUUGUAGAGGAUGCUUUUGAUGCGGUGCCUUCCGAGUUCCCUGGAACGGGACGCCAUAGAGGGUGAGAGCCCCGUCUGGUUGGAUGCCAAAUCUCUGUAAAGCUCCUUCGACGAGUCGAGUAGUUUGGGAAUGCUGCUCUAAAUGGGAGGUAUAUGUCUUCUAAAGCUAAAUACCGGCCAGAGACCGAUAGCGCACAAGUAGAGUGAUCGAAAGAUGAAAAGCACUUUGAAAAGAGAGUUAAAAAGUACGUGAAAUUGUUGAAAGGGAAGCGUUUAUGACCAGACUUGGGCUUGGUUAAUCAUCUGGGGUUCUCCCCAGUGCACUUUUCCAGUCCAGGCCAGCAUCAGUUUUCGCCGGGGGAUAAAGGCUUCGGGAAUGUGGCUCUCUCCGGGGAGUGUUAUAGCCCGUUGCGUAAUACCCUGGCGGGGACUGAGGUUCGCGCAUCUGCAAGGAUGCUGGCGUAAUGGUCAUCAACGACCCGUCUUGAAACACGGACCAAGGAGUCGUCUUCGUAUGCGAUGUUGGGUG
rnacentral:rRNA from 1 species